AGCGCAGGCGGCCAAGUCAGUCUGAAGCGAAAGCCCGGGGCUUAACCCCGGAAUAGCUUUGGAUACUGCCUGGCUUGAGUGUGCGAUAGGAAAGCGGAAUUCCAGGUGUAGCGGUGAAAUGCGUAGAUAUCUGGAGGAACACCGGUGGCGAAAGCGGCUUUCUGGCGCAUAACUGACGCUGAGGCUCGAAAGCGUGGGGAGCGAACG
rnacentral:rRNA from 1 species